rnacentral:lncRNA from 1 species
GCCAAGAGAAAAUAACACACUAGAGGAGCAAAAAUGAAAAAAAUCAGAACCAGAACGUUCAAGUAAUGAAUCAGGUAAACUCACUGACACUCGCAUCACAAAUUUAGAAAACAGAGUAUGUAAUGUUAUCUAUCAAUUAUCAAUCCAUCCACAUAAAUUUCUAAUUCUCUAAUGCUCUAAUCUAACAACAAUAGAACAAACUGUAGUAUGUAACACUAUCUAGGAAGGAAGAAUACUAGAACAUACAUACAUAGGAAAGAGGAAUACUUGGAACAUAAGUACAUAACAUUAUUAGCUAUGCGUCUUGCAUUGCCACGCCAAUGAUAAUCUGGUGCAGAACAUAGUAAGUGUCAAGACACACAUUAGAGAGUGACUCAAAACAAAAAAAAAUCAUUAUAUAAAUUCAGUGCAAUGAGCAAUUACAGGU